rnacentral:rRNA from 1 species
UACGUAGGGUGCGAGCGUUGUCCGGAAUUAUUGGGCGUAAAGAGCUUGUAGGCGGUUUGUCGCGUCUGCCGUGAAAAUCCGGGGCUCAACCCCGGACUUGCGGUGGGUACGGGCAGACUAGAGUGUGGUAGGGGAGACUGGAAUUCCUGGUGUAGCGGUGAAAUGCGCAGAUAUCAGGAGGAACACCGAUGGCGAAGGCAGGUCUCUGGGCCACUACUGACGCUGAGAAGCGAAAGCGUGGGGAGUGAACAGG